GGGCCGGGCCUCACCGAGCGCGCCCAGGAGGCCGUAGGUCUCGCGCAUCACAUCCCGGUACAGAGUCCUCUGAGCGGGCUGCAGACACCCCCACUCCUCCGAGGAGAAGUACACGGCCACGUCCACGAACUUCAAGGCCCUUGGCCUCCUGCCCCUUUUCCGAGUAGGUCCAGCCUCUCCGACUGCCCGCAGGAGAAGCGGAGCCGAAGGUGGCGCCAUCGGACCUGCUCCCCGGCCUUGCCACGGGGACCCGGAGACCUAGAAGCUCCGUCGGGAAGGCCCGGAGGAAAUCUGAAUCGGCUGCCUGAGGGGCCGGGCGGCCCGACACAGACCGUUAUUCAGGGAACUCCCGCUGGAACUUGGGUGAGAGGCACCGGAAGAUGCCUUCGGGGAAGAUGGCGGCGCUGCUCCUGCACCACCGCUGCCUAGAACACAGGCAGGUUCCAGCUAUCGAUUUUAUUGACCCGAACGCCAUGCCGACUUCUUAACCUCCUUGCCCUAAAGUGUAAUGGCGCUGCGAGAUGGCUUCUUGCCUACUUUCCUCCUAUCUAUUGCAUUCGUUUAUUGGUUGGUAGCUGAAGAUCGGGCGUUCUGAUUGGUCAUCAAUGAAGGCGGCCCAUUUGAAUGAAGCCAACGGAUUCUUAAGGGCAAGAAGGUGGAUCCUGUGUCUCUAAGCCGGUUGUGAGAAGUCUUAUGAAUGGGAGGCUUUUCUUGUGUUCUCCAACGCUUGUUUGCCCUACUUGGAGAAGACGUUUCUACAGGUCUUCCAAAGGGAAAGUCACACAGUGACAACAUGGAUUUUUGAACAGCUACAUCCUACGAUCAUAAAGGUGUCACAGCCAGGAAUUCUGAAAAGUACUAGAUGAGAAGGGAGCGGUGGUAAGGAUCUGGUGCACAAAAGGCGCGUCUGGUAAAAUUGAAUGACUAGAAUGCUCUCCUUCCAGGUACCCACUUCUCCGUAGCUUCUGGCGGCUACAGGUGGAACCCGAACAUGGGGACUGGAUAUGCAGAGAUCAUCUGAGGGAUACUGUCUUGGUGGAGCUCCACAGAAAACGGAGGAAGACGGUAUCCUGCACAGUAAGCGACAUACAGCACUGAUGCUGGUGCUCCCCUUACUUUUCAUCUUGUUGAAACUGUUGCCGUAGGUGCAAAGGGAUGCGGGCUAAGUUGGGGCAGUGCCAACCCAACACUGAUUCCACUUAGGGAUUGACAGUGGAAGAUGGGACUGGAAAAUUCUAAACAGGCAUUUGUCUACAGCCUUCAAGAGCUGCUUCAGGCGAGAGGGGUAGGGUUUGAAGAACAAUUGUUAGAAAACGUUUCAGAUCAGAUCAAUUCUUGCUGACCGUGGAUUCAAGAUGAAAACUUUAGAUAAGAGAACCAUGGGGAAAAAAUUGGAGAAGCUCUGAGAACCACCCAGGCAGAUAAUAUCACCCUCUGCCUCUGGGUGCUCAUGAAAGAUGCUAUUGAUGAGGAGACCUUGCAGGCGUCAGACAGUGCCCAGGGAGGGCUUGAAGAAUCUCAGGAAGAACGCCUGCCAGAGAGAGCUUUCUCAGAAAAGGGCCCUCUCCACUCUAAAUUAGAAAGGUAGAGAGAUACUAAAGAUGAGCUAACAUCAAAGGAGGAAGCUCAUUCAGAACAAGGAGCCGCCAAAUAUUAUGAUGAGGAUCGGCCUCCACUUAUGGCCUCUACUGCAGGAGAUGCUGCCCAGAUGGACAUGCAACUAAGUAAAUUAGAGUUUGAAAUUAAACUGCAGAAAUUGACUAAUGAGCUACAGGAGC
rnacentral:lncRNA from 1 species